CAACGCUGGCGGCGUGCCUCAGACAUGCAAGUCGAACGAUUUAAAGCUCUCUUCGGAGAGUGUAUAGAGUGGCGCACGGGUGAGUAACACGUAAGUAAUCUACCCUCGAGUGGGGAAUAACAACCGGAAACGGUUGCUAAUACCGCAUAAUGCAGCGGCACCGCAAGGUGACAGUUGUUAAAGAUUUUAUCGCUUGAGGAGGAGCUUGCGGCAGAUUAGCUAGUUGGUAGGGUAACGGCUUACCAAGGCUACGAUCUGUAACCGGUCUAAGAGGACGGUCGGUCACACUGACACUGAAUAACGGGUCAGACUCCUACGGGAGGCAGCAGUCGGGAAUUUUGGGCAAUGGGCGAAAGCCUGACCCAGCAACGCCGCGUGAAGGAUGAAGUAUUUCGGUAUGUAAACUUCGAAAGAAUAGGAAGAAUUAAUGACGG
rnacentral:rRNA from 1 species